rnacentral:rRNA from 1 species
UCGAGGAUCUUCGGCAAUGGGCGCAAGCCUGACCGAGCGACGCCGCGUGCGCGAUGAAGGCCUUCGGGUUGUAAAGCGCUGUCGAGGGGGAGGAAAGCCCGCAAGGGUCUGACCUAUCCCUGGAGGAAGCACGGGCUAAGUUCGUGCCAGCAGCCGCGGUAAGACGAACCGUGCAAACGUUGUUCGGAAUCACUGGGCUUAAAGGGCGCGUAGGCGGCUUGCCAAGUCAGGGGUGAAAUCUUUCGGCUUAACCGGAAAAGUGCCUCUGAUACUGGCAGGCUUGAGGGAGGUAGGGGCAUGUGGAACUUCCAGUGGAGCGGUGAAAUGCGUUGAUAUUGGAAGGAACGCCGGUGGCGAAAGCGACGUGCUGGACCUCUUCUGACGCUGAGGCGCGAAAGCCAGGGUAGCGAACGG